ensembl:lncRNA LINC02293 long intergenic non-protein coding RNA 2293
AGUUUCUGCUACCACUUAAGUGUUAAUAGCUAAUAAUAGAGCAAGCUUGAUUACUACCUUGGUGUCCUAAAACGGAUGUUGGCCUGCCAGGGAGCAGCCAAGGUGAAGUUUUCAACCAGGCCGACCAACUUCAGAGUCCACUGGCUUCAAAACAGUGCUUUACAUCCUCCUUCCAACAUUAUUCACAAGCCGAUCAAGACUGAGAGAGUCACAAGUGUGUGAAACCUGUAUUCUUUCUGACUUCAUUUUCCCUGGGAACCUCAAAGAAUUCAAAUAUGCUACUUAGUAUACACACUAAUGUUUGCUCACCCUUUGAGCAUAAGCUCAAAUUUUAUUGUGGCUUAUCUUCUCCAAAAAAUGGGUCGAAAUUUUUGUAGAAUAGACAAAUCAAGAAUGAUGACUUCUUAAGAUGCAGUAUUCAAGUUCAGAAAUCUAUACUCAGAUGACCUUAUGUAGGUCAUCUGCUUCUGAGGUUUAUCUCACCAGUGGUUUUCUUCUGAUUGCCAAGUGUUCUUUUUACCCCCAACAGGCAUCCUGACUCAAGCUGUAUACAUUUGCAAUAUCUGAUUUUUAACCACACACUCUUCAUCCUAUUGACCCAGAGUGAAAAUUGAUACUCUUAGCUGAAGGACUGUUCCCUUGAGUAUAUUUAAACCAGACCAAUCUCUGUGUUUAAUCUGGGUUCAUCAGGAACCAUUAGCCUUGAUUGGUUUGUUUUUCUCCCCCUCCAUCUCAGGACUUGAUUCUAUUGAGUUAACAACUAUUCUCCCCAGAGAACAGCUACCGCAAGCCUGUUUCAAGUAAUUCCAAUAUCUGGCUCUUAGAAAUUGAACUGAUCUUUUUUUUCUUUAGUUUUAUGUGAAGAACUGCAGUAAUGAAUUCUGAAUUUGUUCAAAUCAUUGAAGAUGUGUGAAGACAAAACAUUCACUCAAAUCUCUAUCAUGUUAGCAUGUUAUUUAUCAUUGCUCUGUUCUUCAUUGUUGAAUAAUGCAAUUGAGUUAAAAAGAAUAAACAUUAUUUACCGAA